GACGAACGCUGGCGGCGUGCCUAACACAUGCAAGUCGAACGGAAAACAUAGCAAUAUGUUUUUAGUGGCGAACGGGUGAGUAACGCGUAGACAACCAACCUUUUUGUGGGGGACAACACUUCGAAAGGAGUGCUAAUACCGCAUGCGCUCCAGUUGCCGCCUCGCAUUUGGAGGCAAGGAGCUUUACGGCUUCGCAGCAAGACGGGUCUGCGUCUGACUAGCAAGUUGGUGGGGUAACGGCCCACCAAGGCGACGAUCAGUAGCCGGUCUGAGAGGAUGGACGGCCACACUGGGACGGAGACACGGGCCAGACUCCUAAGGGAGGCAGCAGUGGGGAAUCUUCCGCAAUGGACGAAAGUCUGACGGAGCGACGCCGCGUGAGUGAUGAAGGCCCUUGGGUCGUAAAGCUCUGUCAUCAGGGACGAACGGUCACGUCAGGAAAUGGGCGUGAAUUGACGGUACCUGAGAAGGAAGCCACGGCUAACUACGUGCCAGCCGCCGCAGUA
rnacentral:rRNA from 1 species